AACGAACGCUGGCGGCAGGCUUAACACAUGCAAGUCGAACGCUCCGCAAGGGGAGUGGCAGACGGGUGAGUAACGCGUGGGAACGUGCCCCAAGGUACGGAACAACUCCGGGAAACUGGAGCUAAUACCGUAUGUGCCCGAAAGGGGAAAGAUUUAUCGCCUUGGGAUCGGCCCGCGUCUGAUUAGCUAGUUGGUAGGGUAAUGGCCUACCAAGGCUACGAUCAGUAGCUGGUCUGAGAGGAUGACCAGCCACACUGGGACUGAGACACG
rnacentral:rRNA from 1 species